rnacentral:rRNA from 1 species
ACUCCUACGGGAGGCAGCAGUGGGAAUAUUGCACAAUGGGCGCAAGCCUGAUGCAGCGACGCCGCGUGAGGGAUGACGGCCUUCGGGUUGUAAACCUCUUUCAGCAGGGACGAAGCGUAAGUGACGGUACCUGCAGAAGAAGCACCGGCUAACUAUGUGCCAGCAGCCGCGGUAAUACGUAGGGUGCGAGCGUUGUCCGGAAUUACUGGGCGUAAAGAGCUCGUAGGCGGUUUGUCACGUCGUCUGUGAAAUCCUAGGGCUUAACCCUGGACGUGCAGGCGAUACGGGCUGACUUGAGUACUACAGGGGAGACUGGAAUUUCUGGUGUAGCGGUGGAAUGCACAGAUAUCAGGAAGAACACCGAUGGCGAAGGCAGGUCUCUGGGUAGUAACUGACGCUGAGGAGCGAAAGCAUGGGUAGCGAACAGGAUUAGAUACCCUGGCGGCUCUG